GAACAAAGAAUGCAGACACCGGCGGAUCGGGCCACAACACAUUGGAAGGAGAAACAGCUGGUCCCUCACUCAGGCGGUCCAGGAAGCACUACUACAGAGCACUGAGGAUUAGUACCCGUAAAGAUCGGGAUGGAGAUAAAUACGAAAAUGGAGCCCAGAAAAGAAAAAGCGAAGCUGAGAAGAUGAAAGAAAUGGGAAGUCUCCAAAACCGCAGUUUGCAUAAAUUUUAUUUAUUUAUUUAUUUAUUGAGGAAGAUUAGCCCUGAGCUAACACCUGCUGCCAACCCUCCUCUUUUUGCUGAGGAAGACUGGCCCUGAGCUAACAUCCAUG
rnacentral:lncRNA from 1 species